rnacentral:rRNA from 1 species
AUACGGAGGGUGCGAGCGUUAAUCGGAAUUACUGGGCGUAAAGCGCGCGUAGGCGGUCUGGUCAGUCAGAUGUGAAAGCCCUGGGCUUAACCUGGGAACUGCAUUUGAUACUGCCAGACUAGAGUAUGGUAGAGGGAAGUGGAAUUCCGGGUGUAGCGGUGAAAUGCGUAGAUAUCCGGAGGAACACCAGUGGCGAAGGCGGCUUCCUGGACCAAUACUGACGCUGAGGUGCGAAAGCGUGGGGAGCAAACAGGAUUAGAUACCCCAGUAGUCC